rnacentral:rRNA from 1 species
UAAGUCCCGCAACGAGCGCAACCCUCAUCUUUAGUUGCCAUCAGUUAGGCUGGGCACUCUAGAGAAACUGCCUGGGAUGACCAGGAGGAAGGCGAGGAUGACGUCAAGUCCUCAUGGCCCUUAUGGGCUGGGCUACACACGUGCUACAAUGGCGGUGACAAAGGGAAGCAAUAGGGCAACCUGGAGCAAAUCCCAAAAAGCCGUCUCAGUUCGGAUUGUUCUCUGCAACUCGAGAGCAUGAAGUUGGAAUCGCUAGUAAUCGUAGAUCAGCAUGCUACGGUGAAUACGUUCCCGGGCCUU